rnacentral:rRNA from 1 species
GACGGAGGGUGCAAGCGUUGCUCGGAAUCAUUGGGCGUAAAGGGUGCGUAGGCGGCUUCUUAAGUCUGGCGUGAAAGCCCAGGGCUUAGCCUUGGAAGUGCGCCAGAAACUGGGAGGCUAGAGUGCCGGAGGGGAGAGUGGAAUUCCUGAUGUAGCGGUGAAAUGCGCAGAUAUCGGGAAGAACACCCGUGGCGAAGGCGGUUCUCUGGGACGGUACUGACGCUGAGACGCGAAAGCGUGGGGAGCGAACAGG